CAAAAAAUAGUUUAUGUGAAGAUGCCAGCUUUGGGGGCUGGAGAUGAGAUGUUGUUCUCUUUUUUGA
rnacentral:tRNA from 1 species